GCCUGCGGGUUCCACAACCUUGCAAGUUCGAGCGGACAGAUGGGGAAGCUUGCUCCCUGAUGUUAGCGGCGGACGGGUGAGUAACACGUGGGUAACCUGCCUGUAAGACUGGGAUAACUCCGGGAAACCGGGGCUAAUACCGGAUGGUUGUUUGAACCGCAUGGUUCAAACAUAAAAGGUGGCUUCGGCUACCACUUACAGAUGGACCCGCGGCGCAUUAGCUAGUUGGUGAGGUAACGGCUCACCAAGGCAACGAUGCGUAGCCGACCUGAGAGGGUGAUCGGCCACACUGGGACUGAGACACGGCCCAGACUCCUACGGGAGGCAGCAGUAGGGAAUCUUCCGCAAUGGACGAAAGUCUGACGGAGCAACGCCGCGUGAGUGAUGAAGGUUUUCGGAUCGUAAAGCUCUGUUGUUAGGGAAGAACAAGUACCGUUCGAAUAGGGCGGUACCUUGACGGUACCUAACCAGAAAGCCACGGCUAACUACGUGCAAAUCCCCGGGUAAA
rnacentral:rRNA from 1 species